GAAGUGCGCCGGGACAGGCCCCUGCUCGCUCUUCCCGCAUCACAGCUGCAGGCCAUCAUCAAUCAGCGCACCUGGGUCUGAUGAGGGCAGACAGCAUAAAGACCAGCGGACCUGAAGAUCCAGUGCCGGAACUGUUUCCUCUGUUUCGAUUGGACUUUGGACCGCUUCCCUCGAUCCCCGACCCCCGCUUGGACACGGACGUCGUCGCCUCUCGCUUGCCCACAGACUCUUCUUUGCCUUGCCCCUCUGGUCUGUCGAAGGACUCGUCCAACACGUACACACAACAAACUCUGGUAACAUCCACAUUGUUAAUUCCUCACAUGGUCUUGCACCAUUCACAAAGGGUAGCAUACACACCCCAACGCAGAGUCAGUUUCAAUAAACCUAUUGAACUGAUUCCUGCCGUAAUGUCGUCUCCUUCCCCCGCCGUACGUAACACAAUGUGUGCAAUUUAAUAUCUUGAUUGAGAAGACAGCAAUUUGUCUGGACAAGUUUAGAUUGGGGAAGGUCGUUAAUGUCUCUUGUUUUCAUGUUAGCAUUUAAGCUAGCCAGCUGGCACCAGUCAGUCUGUGAGUUUAUGAAAGGGCAGUUAUCAAUCACGGUUUUCCGAUCAUUUGCCAUCUCCGGGUUGGGGAGGAGACCCUGCCCCAAGUGGAGGAGUUCAAGUACCUAGGAGUCUUGUUCACGAGUGAGGGAAGAGUGGAUCGUGAGAUCGACAGGCGGAUCGGUGCGGCGUCUUCAGUAAUGCGGACGUUGUACGGAUCCGUUGUGGUGAAGAAGGAGCUGAGCCGGAAGGCAAAGCUCUCAAUUUACCGCUCGAUCUACGUUCCCAUCCUCACCUAUGGUCAUGAGCUUUGGGUCAUGACCGAAAGGAUAAGAUCACGGGUACAAGCGGCCCAAAUGAGUUUGGGUCUCUCCCUUAGAGAUAGGGUGAGAAGCUCUGCCAUCCGGGAGGAACUCAAAGUAAAGCCGCUGCUCCUCCACAUGGAGAGGAGCCAGAUGAGGUGGUUCGGGCAUCUGGUCAGGAUGCCACCCGAACGCCUCCCUAGGGAGGUGUUUAGGGCACGUCCAACCGGUAGGAGGCCACGGGGAAGACCCAGGACACGUUGGGAAGACUAUGUCUCCCGGCUGGCCUGGGAACGCCUCGGGAUCCCCCGGGAAGAGCUAGACGAAGUGGCUGGGGAGAGGGAAGUCUGGGUUUCCCUGCUUAGGCUGUUGCCCCCGCGACCCGACCUCGGAUAAGCGGAAGAUGAUGGAUGGAUAGUGCUAGCUAGCAACAGCUAACUCCACACCCGAAACAAACUUGACAAUUCAUCAGAAAAAGACGGACGUCAUUUUGACGGCCCACGACAAAUACUUUGAACGAUUUUCAAAAAGUAACGCAAUAAUUACUGUUAGAAAAAUGGUGUAAAUUGUGUGUGAAUUAUCAAAAAACUUUCCGAUCUCUUUUAUUUAAUUGAGUAGUUGAGAGCUGUCCUUCUUCAACCAAGCAGGGUCUUGGGGUAUUCCGCUGUGUACAUUGGAAUGCGACGAGAGGGGUUUUCUUUUGUCCUCAAAGACCUGCCGAAGCCGAGACCAGGACGAGCCCAAGCCCGAGGCAUCGUCUUUCUUUUGUCUUCAAUGUGACCGAAAACAAUGACUGUUUAUAUACUCCCCAUUCCAAUUUUGCUGAGACCAGGACGAGCCCGGGCCCGAGGCAUCGUCUUUCUUUUGUCUUCAAUGUGACCGAAAACAAUGACUGUUUAUAUACUCCCCAUUCCUGUUUUGCCGAAGCUGAAACCAGGACGAGCCCAAGCCCGAGGCAUCGUCUUUCUUUUGUCUUCAAUGUGACCGAAAACAAUGACUGUUUAUAUACUCCCCAUUCCAAUUUUGCUGAGACCAGGACGAGCCCGGGCCCGAGGCAUUGUCUUCUUUUGUCUUCAAUGUGACCGAAAACAAUGACUGUUUAUAUAUCCCCAUUCCUGUUUUGCCGAAGCUGAAACCAGGACGAGCCCAAGCCCGAGGCAUCGUCUUUCUUUUGUCUUCAAUGUGACCGAAAACAAUGACUGUUUAUAUACUCCCCAUUCCUGUUUUGCCGAAGCUGAAACCAGGACGAGCCCAAGCCCGAGGCAUCGUCUUUCUUUUGUCUUCAAUGUGACCGAAAACAAUGACUGUUUAUAUACUCCCCAUUCCUGUUUUGCCGAAGCUGAAACCAGGACGAGCCCAAGCCCGAGGCAUCGUCUUUCUUUUGUCUUCAAUGUGACCGAAAACAAUGACUGUUUAUAUACUCCCCAUUCCUGUUUUGCCGAAGCUGAAACCAGGACGAGCCCAAGCCCGAGGCAUCGUCUUUCUUUUGUCUUCAAUGUGACCGAAAACAAUGACUGUUUAUAUACUCCCCAUUCCUGUUUUGCCGAAGCUGAAACCAGGACGAGCCCAAGCCCGAGGCAUCGUCUUCUUUUGUCUUCAAUGUGACCGAAAACAAUGACUGUUUAUAUACUCCCCAUUCCUGUUUUGCCGAAGCUGAAACCAGGACGAGCCCAAGCCCGAGGCAUCGUCUUCUUUUGUCUUCAAUUUGACCGACAACAGUGACUGUGUGUAUGCUCCCCAUUCCUGUUUUGACAUGUGUCGUUGCCUAAACAUUGAAUAUCUAAAUAAAAGAGGAGACGAAAACCUUUUGGUCAGAGCUUGGUGCAGGAACUGUGCAAGGUGUACAGAGGCCAUGUCUCUCCUCAGAUCGGAGUCCAAAUUUAA